AUUGAACGCUGGCGGCAUGCCUUACACAUGCAAGUCGAACGGUAACAGGCCGCAAGGUGCUGACGAGUGGCGAACGGGUGAGUAAUGCAUCGGAACGUGCCCAGUCGUGGGGGAUAACUGCUCGAAAGAGCAGCUAAUACCGCAUACGACCUGAGGGUGAAAGCGGGGGACCGUAAGGCCUCGCGCGAUUGGAGCGGCCGAUGUCAGAUUAGCUAGUUGGUGGGGUAAAGGCCUACCAAGGCAACGAUCUGUAGUUGGUCUGAGAGGACGACCAGCCACACUGGGACUGAGCCACGGCCCAGACUCCUACGGGAGGCAGCAGUGGGGAAUUUUGGACAAUGGGCGCAAGCCUGAUCCAGCAAUGCGGCGUGCAGGAAGAAGGCCUUCGGGUUGUAAGCUGCUUUUGUCAGGGAAGAAAUCCUCUGGGUUAAUACCUCGGGGGGAUGACGGUACCUGAAGAAUAAGCACCGGCUAACUACGUGCCAGCCGCCGCGGUAAAAC
rnacentral:rRNA from 1 species